rnacentral:rRNA from 1 species
UAACGAAGGGUGCAAACGUUGCUCGGAAUUACUGGGCGUAAAGAGCUCGUAGGUGGUUUGUCGCGUUGUCCGUGAAAACUCACAACUCAAUUGUGGGCGUGCGGGCGAUACGGGCAGACUGGAGUACUGCAGGGGAGACUGGAAUUCCUGGUGUAGCGGUGGAAUGCGCAGAUAUCAGGAGGAACACCGGUGGCGAAGGCGGGUCUCUGGGCAGUAACUGACGCUGAGGAGCGAAAGCGUGGGGAGCGAACAGG